rnacentral:rRNA from 1 species
GACGUAGGGCGCAAGCGUUGUCCGGAUUUAUUGGGCGUAAAGAGCUCGUAGGCGGCCUGUCGCGUCGACCGUGAAAACCCGCAGCUCAACUCCGGAUCUGCGGUGGGUACGGGCAGACUAGAGUGAUGUAGGGGAGACUGGAAUUCCUGGUGUAGCGGUGAAAUGCGCAGAUAUCAGGAGGAACACCGAUGGCGAAGGCAGGUCUCUGGGCAUUAACUGACGCUGAGGAGCGAAAGCAUGGGGAGCGAACAGG